rnacentral:rRNA from 1 species
GGGGAAUAUGGAACAUUGGGGGAAGCCCUAACCCGCCCUUGCGCCGGGGUUGAGGAAGUUCUUGGGUUGUUAAGGCCCUUUAGGUGGGGAGGAGGGGCUGCAAGUUAAUCCCUGUUGGUUUUAACGUAACAAACAGAUAAAGCACGGCUUACCUUCUUGCCGCAGCCGCGGUAAUACGAAGGGUGCAACGUUAAUCGGAAUUACUGGGCGUAAAACGCGCGUAGGUGGUUUGGUAAGAUGGAUGUGAAAUCCCCGGGCUCAACCUGGGAACUGCAUCCAUAACUGCCUGACUAGAGUACGGUAGAGCGUGGUGGAAUUUCCUGUGUAGCGGUGAAAUGAGUAGAUAUAGGAAGGAACACCAGUGGCGAAGGCGACCACCUGGACUGAUACUGACACUGAGGUGCGAAAGCGUGGGGAGCAAACA